GAGUUAUAAAUUUUUAAAGUUCUGAAAGAGAAAACCCUUUGAGGAAAAAAUAUAUUUUGAAGGGAUUUUGUUAUAUUUUAAAUUUAAUGCAAAAUAAAGGAGUUUUGGAAGCUAAGAAAAGAUACAUAUUAAAGUUUAAUCUAAACUCUCUAUAGCUAGAUACCCAGUGUAUUUUCAGAUAGCAAAUCAUGCCAUACAACAACGUAGCAUAAUAUGUAGCAACUUUUGUAUAGUAGUACCAUAAAACAAGUUAGUAUCGGAUUAGAAGUUGUAUAAUAUUUUGACUAAGUACUAAACUAUUCCUUGUCUCUUUUCUAAUCAUUCUGUGUAUUGAGUCAAGUGUUGCAAGAUUAUGUUUUAUGCUUUUCAAUAACUUU
rnacentral:lncRNA from 1 species